UCCUGUAGAAAAAUGAGGUGGCUGUAGAAGGUAAACAUUCUGGCAUUUUCUUCUAAAACCAAUACAGCACCUGCAAGUCCCAGGCACAGGGCAGAGUACAAAGGGUCACGUUUGACUGGGAAACUGAACUGGAUUCUACUCCUGCUAAACUCCGUGAAUGUUUGUGGGCAAGAGAGCUUCACUGAGAACUUAACUGUUUAAAUAAAUGGGACAAAUGGGGAGCAGAGCUUAUCUCAGAGGCCUGCUUAAUUGGAACUACCAUAAAGAUGAUGCCCACUGCAUGGAGAAGACUCUGAGACAUUUAUAGUUGUCCAAGGAGCCAAAGGAGACUAAUGAGUAAUGAAUACUAUUCAAAAUCCUCUAAUUACAUAGCAGGUUGCUACCUUGGAAGAAAAACAAGCUAAUAUAAAUGCAAAAGGACUGGAAACAGCCCUUCUCCAAAUAAUUCACUUGAUUCAGCAAGCUGUCAGCUGCACUAUUUCAUUUUCUCUCUUCUUAAUCCUCCUUCUCUCUGCCGAAUGCCUUCCUAUGCAGCAGCUCUUCUAAGCUAAGGGUUUUGUUAGUCCUCUGGCUUCUCUCAACCUGUACUACUACAUGUAAUGGUGCCACAUAUUUAUAGGAACUUCAGAGUUAUCUGAAACCUCCAAAUCAGUAGUAAGUCUGGAUUAGAGCUGGUUAUUUUCAGUGAGAUUUUGGUGGAUUUUAAUUCUGUGUAGAGCUGGGCACCAGUUAAGAGGAGACAGCAAUCUGGUGAAAGAAAAGGAACUGAAGCAAAUGUUCUGGGACACAG